CUCUUUGAUUUGUAUCAUUUUAUGCUAUUUCUUUUACAUCUGUUAAAUACGGCAGUUUUUAUGUGGUGCUUUGUCUUAAGUUAUUUAGUAUGUUGUUGGUCAUAUAAUCCGUUAAUCUUUCUAUUUGACUUUCACAGAGUUACUGGUUUUACAUGCUUAACCUUUACUGAUUUAAGGAGCGUGAAUGUUUCUUCUUCAAUAAAAAUUAUUCAUUAAGAUGGGAGAAAAUGCAGAGGAAAGGAAGCAUCAGGAAUAUCCUCUCCCCUAAAGCCAACUGAAAAGGACUACAAACAAAAAAAUUGCUUGAAGAAGGCUCGAUAGGAGUAGGUCAUAGGAAAAAGUUCUAUGGACCCUUGGACUGGAUAUUCCUGUCUGUUGAUGAUUUCCAUCAUUCUUUCUUCCUUGGUUUGUUGAACGUUGAGAUUGAAUGGUUAAUUGCUCCAGUUGGGGCACCGCUGUGCAUACGAAGCUUGUAAAUCUAAUUGGAUUUAUUGUUC